AGUGAACGCUGGCGGUAGGCCUAACACAUGCAAGUCGAACGGCAGCACAGUAAGAGCUUGCUCUUACGGGUGGCGAGUGGCGGACGGGUGAGGAAUACAUCGGAAUCUUCUUUUUCGUGGGGGAUAACGUAGGGAAACUUACGCUAAUACCGCAUACGACCUACGGGUGAAAGCAGGGGAUCUUCGGACCUUUCGCGAUUGAAUGAGCCGAUGUCGGAUUAGCUAGUUGGCGGGGUAAAGGCCCACCAAGGCGACGAUCCGUAGCUGGUCUGAGAGGAUGAUCAGCCACACUGGAACUGAGACACGGUCCAGACUCCUACGGGAGGCAGCAGUGGGGAAUAUUGGACAAUGGGCGCAAGCCUGAUCCAGCCAUACCGCGUGGGUGAAGAAGGCCUUCGGGUUGUAAAGCCCUUUUGUUGGGAAAGAAAAGCAGCAGGUUAAUACCCCGCUGUUCUGACGGUACCCAAAGAAUAAGCACCGGCUAACUUCGUG
rnacentral:rRNA from 1 species